GCUCUCCAUCAGCCUUCGUUUGGGGUUGAAGGUGGUUACCUUCCCUCUGGUUUCAGAGGUUCUGAGCGUUCAAGCCGUCGUUCUGAACCGGGAACUUUGGCAGGAAAAUUGCAGGAGUGUCAGAGGAGACAAAAGGCCCUCCCUUGAACAGGGUCGACAUGGACGCCGUGUCCCAGCUGUCUACACGGCACGCAAGCCAUUGCGGUGCUGGAGGCUCCCCUUCUCCACGCAUUUGAUGAACUCAACGGAACAGCAGGAGUUGCCAGUCAGCGUUGAACUCCAUGUAGGACUGCCUUAGGGAUUCCAGCACCGGAUUUUUCCCUCAGGGAUUACUCCUAAGGCCUUCCCCAUGACUGUGUACAGCCGCAAGGCAGCAGAGGCUUGAGAUCAGAGUUUUCCGUCUCCUAGACUCCACAGGUUGAAUGGCUUUAACUUUUGGUGACCUCAGGAUGUUCGGCUGAAGUGAUGGACUGUGAAGUCACGACAUGAAUUAGCACAGAAAGCAGGAACUCUGUACAUGGGACCCUGCCCUUCAUUGAAGA